GUCUUCUUAGCUCAGUUGGUAGAGCAACUGACUCUUAAUCAGUGGGUCUGGGGUUCGAGCCCCCAAGAGGACACCA
rnacentral:tRNA from 1 species